UCUGUUUCUCGGUGAAAUAAUCCAAGCACAGCACUGUAGGAUAGGAGCCAGGAGCAUGGCCACUGAAGCAGCAGCCGUCCCACAUGGUUGGUGGAGGGAGAGCCCCAGUUGUCCAGGAAAGCCACGCUGCCGUAUCCUCAGUGCCAGUCCAGCUGAGAACCGUGGGCCGCAGAGUAUGCUGCUGUGGAAGCAGAGGACCCUCCCAAUAUGCAUGCGCAUCUUUUUGCCAAGAUGGAUUCCAACACAGAGGCCUGUGGGAGCAGGGCUCAGCUCCUGCCACUAACUUUGCCCUUGGAGUGUCCAGGGAAAACAAAGCUCCAAUUUACCCUGCUUGACAAGCUCCAGCUGCUCUGCCCAGGGGCCCAUCUGCCUCCUACCUCAUCCUGACACCUCAGACUUGCUGCUUCUACCUUUCCUGGACCAGAAGUGUUCCUACAAGGAUUUGGAAGUUUCAAAAGUGCCCUCCUGCCA